rnacentral:miRNA from 1 species
GUGGUCCCCAACCCAGUCCUCAUGGACUGCCAACAGUCCAAGUUUUGUCAGUAUCUCCAUUGGAAUAAAAAAGGGAAAUACAUAAAUCCUGGACUGUUGGUGGUCCAUGAGGACUGGGUUGGGGACCA